AUUGAACGCUGGCGGCAGGCCUAACACAUGCAAGUCGAGCGGAUGAAGGGAGCUUGCUCCUGGAUUCAGCGGCGGACGGGUGAGUAAUGCCUAGGAAUCUGCCUGGUAGUGGGGGAUAACGUCCGGAAACGGGCGCUAAUACCGCAUACGUCCUGAGGGAGGAAGUGGGGGAUCUUCGGACCUCACGCUAUCAGAUGAGCCUAGGUCGGAUUAGCUAGUUGGUGGGGUAAAGGCCUACCAAGGCGACGAUCCGUAACUGGUCUGAGAGGAUGAUCAGUCACACUGGAACUGAGACACGGUCCAGACUCCUACGGGAGGCAGCAGUGGGGAAUAUUGGACAAUGGGCGAAAGCCUGAUCCAGCCAUGCCGCGUGUGUGAAGAAGGUCUCCGGAUUGUAAAGCACUUUAAGUUGGGAGGAAGGGCAGUAAGUUAAUACCUUGCUGUUUUGACGUUACCAACAGAAUAAGCACCGGCUAACUUCGUG
rnacentral:rRNA from 1 species